UACGUAGGGGGGCUAGCGUUGUCCGGAAUCAUUGGGCGUAAAGAGCGUGUAGGCGGUCCGGUAAGUCCGCUGUGAAAGUCGGGGGCUCAACCCUCGAAUGCCGGUGGAUACUGUCGGGCUAGGAGUGCGGAAGAGGCGAGUGGAAUUCCUGGUGUAGCGGUGAAAUGCGCAGAUAUCAGGAGGAACACCUAUUGCGAAGGCAGCUCGCUGGGACGUAACUGACGCUGAGACGCGAAAGCGUGGGGAGCAAACAGG
rnacentral:rRNA from 1 species